ACCUGGGGACAGCUCAGUCAGUAGAGCAUGAGACUCUCAAUCUCAGUGUCGUGAGUUCAAACCCCACGUUGGGCA